ACGUGUGUACCAACGAGAGUGAAGCGUCCGAAACUCCGGCAGUCAACAACACGAAUCGUAACUGGUGGACAAUAGACUUCUUGGUCAGGUCGUAUACUUCGAGGAAUCGGUAACACCGGACCUCUUUCCUGGCGCCACACCGGUUCGACGCUUUCUACGCGACCGGUCAAAUCUCCUGGUUUAUUGAUAUCCACGCAGAAAAUGAACAACUGUGUUUGAAGUCGAUGGUGACAAACACGCUUUGUGAACAACGGAAACGCAAAACAGCGCGCACUAGCGUGUGCGAAAUGGUGGAUUCUUCACGCUCCGACGUGUUGACCGAAGUGCCGAGUUUGACAUGGGGCUUUACUUGGGCUCUCCCGAGAAAUUCACAUUUACCCUAGGCAAGUAUUCGGAACCAAAGAAAAACGUGAUAUUUUGUAAACUCAGUGUCUUGCAGCUCUGAAAAUACACAAUCACCACUUGUUAUGAAAGAAUAAUCCAUAGUCUUUAGGCUCUCCUAGAACCGACGAUAUUGAAUUAUAAAGUACUCCGUAACGAACGUAGAUUGUACGAAUUUUCUCUAUUACUAAAAACGUUCUGGCCUAAUAAUCUUGCAUUAGGAUUUAAUUAAAAUAGCUUGUAAGCGACGUGUUCAAGUCUAACUCAGCUGAUUUUGUUCUCACAAGUCUCCAAAGCGGCAGCUUCCGUGUAAACGGACUGGAAUAGGUUACAGCUUUUAAUCUUUUUAAUAUUCAGACCCUAAAGUUAAUCCGAGUUUCAGAAAAUUCAAUUUGGACUACUCAUACUUUUGUGACGUUGAUUAUGUCACCAGUCCGAAUAGCGAAUUCAAGGACUCCUGCGGAGCUUGUGACUCACGACGGGUAUCAAAUCCAGUUUUGCUCCAUCCGCUGUUUUUCAUGGAAUAAGGAAGACUAGUCAAAACGAAAGCCUUCCGUUCGUCGGCUACACUAUUCCCGGUAGGGAACAGAAUCAACUAUUAGCAACCCAGGGUCCAGUUAUCUACGUAAUGCAGCAAGCGGGAGUAUGAGAAUGUGCACAAUAUCCUUUCAGAUGUCGAGUGCUGCAGGUAGGCAACGCAGUCAGCCGACAGCUGCUCCAGGACGCCACGCAGUCUCCGAUCGGCGUCGCCUCGUUCUAGUCGUACCA
rnacentral:lncRNA from 1 species